GAUGAAGAACGCAGCGAAAUGCGAUAAGUAAUGUGAAUUGCAGAAUUCAGUGAAUCAUCGAAUCUUUGAACGCACAUUGCGCCCCUUGGUAUUCCGAGGGGCAUGCCUGUUCGAGCGUCAUUACACCACUCAAGCUAUGCUUGGUAUUGGGCGUCGUCCUUAGUUGGGCGCGCCUUAAAGACCUCGGCGAGGCCACUCCGGCUUUAGGCGUAGUAGAAUUUAUUCGAACGUCUGUCAAAGGAGAGGAACUCUGCCGACUGAAACCUUUAUUUUUCUAGGUUGACCUCGGAUCAGGUAGGGAUACCCGCUGAACUUAAGCAUAUCAAUAAGCGGAGG
rnacentral:misc_RNA from 1 species